AUCGGGUUCUUGCUCUUGUAGGUAACUUACGGGGUUUGUCCGCGCUCUGGGAUUUCCUUUGUGUCAAAGGGUUUAGCACAGAGUGCCCAAAAGGCGGCGGAGUGGCGAAGCGGGGGCUUCGGUUGCGCACAGCUUCUGUGUUUUUGUGCCCGGGUCGUGAUGGCGGGCAGCCGGCCGGAGGCACAGGACCAUCCGCCCGAGAACGGCUUCACCCCGCAGGAGCGCCCGGCGCCCCGGCUGCUGCCGCACAUCGACGGGUGCGUGCUGCCGUCUCUGGGGGGCUUCGGGAGACACCAGAAGCAGCUGGUGGUCCUGACCUGGAUACCUGCGCUGUUCAUCGGCUUCAGCCAGUUCUCGGAUCACUUCCUCCUGGCGCAGCCUAACGGGACGUGCGUUUCGCCCGCGGGCAACCUCAGCAACUGGACCGGGUCACCUCUGCUGGCCGUCGGCGCGCCCGCGCUGAAGCUGGAGGCCAACGGCACCGCGGAGGGACCCGGGGAUGGCGCCGGGCUGCUGUGCGCCUGCGAGGAGCGGAGGCUGGAGCUGCAGACGGGACUCCUCCAGAAUGUGGUUACCAAGUGGCACCUGGUGUGUGACUCGGCGUGGAAGGUCCACAUAGCCAAGUUCUCCUUGCUGGUGGGCUCAAUAUUUGGCUACCUGGUGAUGGGUGUCAUGGCUGACUGGUUUGGCCGACACCCGGUGUUGAUUCUCUCGGCCCUUUUCAUGCUGGUGUUCGGCCUGUCUGUCGCCUUCUCUGUAAAUGUCACCAUGUUCAGCACCUUGCGCUUCUUUGAGGGUUUCUGCUUGGCGGGCCUCGCUCUCUCCCUCUACGUGCUCAGGAUCGAGCUGUGCUUGCCAGGCUGGCGCUUCUCCAUGACCAUGGUGGCCAGUUUUCUGAAGGUGGGCGGGCAGCUACUGAUGCCAGGGGUGGCCACUCUGUGCCGCCAUUGGCCGAACGGGGAUGACUGGCAGGUGCUGCAGAUCGUCAUCAUCAGCCCUUUUGUUCUGAUGCUGCCAUAUGUCUGGAUUUUUCCCGAAUCGCUGCGCUGGUUGCUGGCCACCCAGCACUACAAGCGGUCCAAAGCCAUGAUGCUGCGCAUCGCCAGGAAGAACCAGGUUGACAUGGCAACAGAGCCCAGUGGAGUUCUCGCAGAACUGGAGCAGGAGCUACACAAGAAACCCCAGAGGAGCUGCAUUAUCAAGAUGAUGAGCACCAGGAACCUGUGGAAAAACAUAGUUGUGCUAUGUGUGAACUCUCUGACAGGUUAUGGGAUCCACCACUGCUUCGCCCGCAGUAUGAUGGACCCGGAGGCCCAGCCCACGGCUUUGUGCCACGCCGACUACUACACCAUGGCGGGCAUUGCCGUGGCCACAUGCCUGGCUCUUUGCCCUGCAGUGGGGCUGAUGGGUCGGCGCGGGGGACUGCUCACCUUCAUGAUUAUAACAGCUCUAGCAUCACUACUGCAGCUGGGUCUGCUCAACUUAAUUGGAAAGUACAGCCUCCGCCAUGACACAGUUCUGCGAGACACUCUGAACAGAAAAUUCUCGGUGGCCUUCUCUAUCAUUGGCAUGUUCUCCUCUCACGCCGUCAGCACACUUAGCAUUUUCUUUUGUGCUGAAAUCACGCCAACUGUCAUCAGGGGUGGAGGUCUGGGCCUCGUCCUGGCCAGCGCCGGCUUCGGGAUGCUCACCGCCCCCAUCAUGGAGCUGCACAACCAAAAGGGCUACUUCCUGCAUCACGUGAUCUUCGCCUGCUGCACGCUGCUGUGCAUCAUCUGCCUGCUGCUGCUGCCGGAGCCGCGGGGUCAGCCGCUGCCGGAGAGCCUGGCCGACGGCGAGACCUUCACCCGCCAGACCCUGCUCCAUCCCGGCGAGCAGCACCUCCUCCUCGUCAAGUACGAGAGGGACUACUCGCGCGUCCACGACACGCCGCUACAUCUCACGGCCACGGGAGGCACCACGGCGGCGGUGGCCACCGCUCUGGCAGCGGUACCUGCCUCGUACUCUCUGGCCACUGGUGGCGAGGUGAUUGGUAAUUGCACCAUAGCCAACGGGGUGUGAGCGGCGCAGCGAUCGUCUUCUGCUGCGCGAAUAACUGAUGCAGUGAUAACCAGAUGUAAGAUGAGAUCAAAUGUUUUUUUUUUUUGGGGGGGGGGGGGGGGGGGCAACUAAAUGUUCAGACAAACCAGAUGAACUGCUGUUAAUCUGUAGUGAGGUUUGAGAUGAUGACAAUGAUAGCCAGUGUGCGUACCGUUAAGUGACAAUGAUUCAUUCAGGAGUCGCCAAAAAAUGUCGGACAGACCAUGUUUGUCUGAAGUCAGACUGUUUUUUUUUUUCUUUCUUUCUUUUUUAUCCUGUGCUGCUGAAAAUAAACGGACGCGGGCGACUAGACCAACAGCAGAUCAACUCUCUGGGUUUUGUGUUUGCAGUUUUGACUUGUUGAAACAGGAUCAGUUUCUGUGGGCCCAAGUAGCUCCUAGGUGUGGAAAAACUAGUUGGGGCCCACGUCUGCUUUUUGUUGGACUUACAGGUCACGGAUAACCUAAGUAAAUAAGUAGAUACAAAAGGCGGUUUUCGAAUAAUAAUGUCAUAUAUUAAGUGGGGGAAAAAAAGCUGAACAAACCAACCUGGACCUAUGUGAAAAGAUACUCUGGUAGAGAUCAGCAUUCAUGGCUCCAUUCCCAGCAAGGCGUCUUAAGUACUGAAGCGGCACAUUUAUAUUCCGCGUCAGCAGAA